rnacentral:rRNA from 1 species
AGUGAACGCUGGCGGUAGGCCUAACACAUGCAAGUCGAACGGCAGCACAGUAAGAGCUUGCUCUUACGGGUGGCGAGUGGCGGACGGGUGAGGAAUACAUCGGAAUCUACUUUUUCGUGGGGGAUAACGUAGGGAAACUUACGCUAAUACCGCAUACGACCUACGGGUGAAAGCAGGGGAUCUUCGGACCUUGCGCGAUUGAAUGAGCCGAUGUCGGAUUAGCUAGUUGGCGGGGUAAAGGCCCACCAAGGCGACGAUCCGUAGCUGGUCUGAGAGGAUGAUCAGCCACACUGGAACUGAGACACGGUCCAGACUCCUACGGGAGGCAGCAGUGGGGAAUAUUGGACAAUGGGCGCAAGCCUGAUCCAGCCAUACCGCGUGGGUGAAGAAGGCCUUCGGGUUGUAAAGCCCCUUUGUUGGGAAAGAAAAGCAGCAGGUUAAUACCCCGCUGUUCUGACGGGACCCAAAGAAUAGGCACCGGCUAACUUCG